rnacentral:lncRNA from 1 species
CCACCAUUAGCAAGAAAAUAUAUGAUUAUUAUUGCAUGUAGAGAAUAUACUAACAAAUGACUCAUGAUCUCUUCAACUUUGAAAUGAAAAAGACAAAAAAAAUCUAGUGUUCAUCAGCAGCUGUAAAGUGGCAGAAUGGAAUGCAUUAGAUGGCCCCAACGUGCACAACUUAUGUAUCUUAAUUCCUCAGCAAUCAAUCAAACCUUCAGAAAGAAAACAAAAUAACAUAUAGGCAUUCACAGGGGGAGAUACAAGAAACGAAAAUGACCAGGUUUUUUCAGGGAUUCUUCUUGUUUUCUUUUGGCGUAAUUGAUUCUUCUUGCUUUUAACAAAUAAAAAGUUUGUAAACAGAGACAAGAGAACGUGUACCAUGGGCCCCUACAAUUGUAGUGUAUUCUUCACACCUUCUGGAAAUCAAUGGGCAUCACAAGCUUCCAGUGACCACCGACAUAUCUAUCACUUCAGCUUGGCUUUUAAACACUACAAGACGUGCAAACAUGAACAACCUUUCACCACCCAUCAUCCCUCAACCUCUAAAAAAACAAAAGUUGUGAAAACAUUAUGAUAGCUUUCCUUAUAAUUUUGGAGGCUUCUCAUUGCCUUAUAGCUCAUGUAUGCUAAUACUAAGAUACAUGCAGUGCACAUGCAAAAAUUAUGAAUUGGCUAUAAUCACAUACUAGAAGGGAGCGAGCAGCCGAUAAUUUUUUNNNNNNNNNNNNNNNNNACAUGUCUUCUAACAAGUCCCCAGAAAAUCUUGAACAUGAUGUGGUAUUCCGGCCUGUCUGCUGCUCUGUUUGCUCAACUGAGGUUGGAGUCUUUGACGGGGAUGAGGUUUACCAUUUCUUUAAUGUUAUUCCAAGCAACUCCUGAGCUUUUUCUUGACUGGCUUUGCUAAAUUUAAGUUAUAGGCAUGUGCUUUAAUGUAGCAUAAUCAAUCACCUGGCCGCUGACUGCAUCCUUCUUGCUACUGCCCUACCAUAAGAGCAAUAAGCCAGUCACAGGCAAGCAACCUCUUGAGUCUCUAACUUCCGAAUCCGAAUGCCCACAUGACGUUUCAUUUCUAAUGAAUCCUAAAGUUAUGAUGACGCGCUAAGUGUAACUCCUGUACAUGUAAUGCCAUUCAUAUUAAGUUUUUGUAUGGUUAUAAACUUAUAAUGCUGUAAUCAGAUGAUUAUGGCAAAUUGCUCCUACCAUAAACUGACUAUCAAUUUUGUUAUUAUGGUCACCUUUUCUGUGAUGAUUGUAGCAAUUUGCUUGGAUGGUAGGCUUUCAGUAAUUUUUCCGUGUGAUU